AAAUGCGAUAAGUAAUGUGAAUUGCAGAAUUCAGUGAAUCAUCGAAUCUUUGAACGCACCUUGCGCUCCUUGGUAUUCCUUGGAGCAUGCCUGUUUGAGUAUCAUGAAAUCUUCAAAGUAAAUCUUUUGUUAACUCAAUUGGUUUCUACUUUGGUAUUGGAGGUCUUUGCAGCUUCACACCUGCUCCUCUUUGUUCAUUAGCUGGAUCUCAGUGUUAUGCUUGGUUCCACUCGGCGUGAUAAGUUAUCUAUCGCUGAGGACACUGUAAAAGGUGGCCAAGGUAAAUGCAGAUGAACCGCUUCUAAUAGUCCAUUGACUUGAACAAUACUUUUAUGAUCUGAUCUCAAAUCAGGUAGGACUACCCGCUGAACUUAAGC
rnacentral:misc_RNA from 1 species